rnacentral:lncRNA from 1 species
AAAAACUGAAAUAUCAAUACAUUAUAAUUUAAGUCAAUAAAAUUAAUUUUAAAAAAUAUGCAUAUUAUCUUAUUUUAGUGUUUAAAACAUAAUUUUUAAAAAUCGUAUAAAAUAUGUAAUUCACUCUACCAAUGUUGGUUAGGUGUAAUAAACCUAGUCACGUUGAGAAGACUACUAUGUUAAACAAAUACAUUAAGCGGCUAAGUAACAUGCAUAUGUAUAUGCCAUUUUAAUUCAAAGUCAUGCAUUUGGAGUUUUUCAACAUAUCCUAUAAUGUUCAAAGCAAACUUAGCUCUUUACCCAUGUAUCCAUCUAAUAGGUUUCACGUUUCUAAUAAAAGUUGUUCUACGUUAUUUUUGACAUUUUGUUUUGUUUUCAUAACUUUAACCCAUCUUUGUGUAUAUAAACUUUCAUUUUCUUUAUUUUAUUUUUCAUUGUCAUUUUUUAUAACAACAUAUUAUAAUAUCAAUACAUUAUCUUUUUUAAAAUUUUAGAUUUAAAAAAUUUCAAAUAUCAAUACAUUAAAAUUUAAGUCAAUAAAAUUAAUUAUAAAAAAUAUGCAUAUUCUCUUAUUUUAGUGUUUAAAACAUAAUUCUUAAAAGUUGUAUAAAAUAAGUAAUUCACUCUACCAAUGUUGGUUUGGUGUAAUAAACCUAGUCAUCUUGAGAAGACUACUAUGUUAAACAAAUACAUUAAGCGCCUAAGUAAUAUGUAUAUGUAUAUGCCAUUUUAAUUCAAAGACAUGCAUUUGGAGUAUUUCAACCCAUCCUAUAAUGUUCAAACCAAACUUAUCUCUUUACCCAUGUAUCCAUAUAAUAGGUUUCACGUUUCUAAUAAAAUUGGUUUUAUGUUAUUUUCAAGUCUUGUUUUGUUUUCAUAACUUUAACCCAUCUUUGUCUAUAUAAACCGUCAUUUUCUUUAUUUCUUUUUUCCAUGUUCAUUUUUUUAAAACAACAUAUUAUGAUAUCAAUACAUUAUAUCUUAUAAUAAUAGAUUUAAAAAACUGAAAUAUCAAUAUAUUACAAUUUAAGUCAAUAAAAUUAAUCAUAAAAAAUAUGCAUAUUCUCGUAUUUUAGUGUUUAAAACAUAAUUUUUAUAAAAAUUGUAUAAAAUAAGUAAUUCACUCUACCAAUGUUGCUUUGGUGUAAUAAACCUAGUCACCUUGAGAAGGCUACUAUGUUAAACAAAUACAUUAAGCGGCUAAGUAGCAUGUAUAUGUAUAUGCCAUUUUAAUUCAAAGUCAUGCAUUUGGAGUUUUUCAACACAUCCUAUAAUGUUCAAAGCAAACUUAGCUCUUUACCCAUGUAUCCAUCUAAUAGGUUUCACGUUUCUAAUAAAAGUUGUUCUACGUUAUUUUUGACAUUUUGUUUUGUUUUCAUAACUUUAACCCAUCUUUGUGUAUAUAAACUUUCAUUUUCUUUAUUUUAUUUUUCAUUGUCAUUUUUUAUAACAACAUAUUAUAAUAUCAAUACAUUAUCUUUUUUAAAAUUUUAGAUUUAAAAAAUUUCAAAUAUCAAUACAUUAAAAUUUAAGUCAAUAAAAUUAAUUAUAAAAAAUAUGCAUAUUCUCUUAUUUUAGUGUUUAAAACAUAAUUCUUAAAAGUUGUAUAAAAUAAGUAAUUCACUCUACCAAUGUUGGUUUGGUGUAAUAAACCUAGUCACCUUGAGAAGACUACUAUGUUAAACAAAUACAUUAAGCGGCUAAGUAACAUGCAUAUGUAUAUGCCAUUUUAAUUCAAAGUCAUGCAUUUGGAGUUUUUCAACAAAUCCUAUAAUGUUCAAAGCAAACUUAGCUCUUUACCCAUGUGUCCAUCUAAUAGGUUUCACGUUUCAAAUAAAACUAGUUCUACAUUAUUUUCACAUUUUGUUUUUAUAAAUUUAACCCAUCUUUGUCUAUAUAAACUGUCAUUUUCUUUAUUUCUUUUUUUCAUGUUCAUGUUUUACAACAACAUAUUAUGAUAUCAAUACAUUAUAUUUUUAAUAAUAUUAGAUUUAAAAAACUGAAAUAUCAAUACAUUACAAUUUAAGUCAAUAA